GUGCACCAGUCGCGAAACCUCCGCAAUACACGAAAGUGUGACGGGGCCAUCCCGAGUGCCGUCCGCUGAGGACGGCUUUUCCCCAGUGUACACAGCUGGGGGAAUAAGGAGAGGGCAAGCCUGGUGUCAGCCGCCGCGGUAAUACCAGCUCUCCGAGUGGUGGGGACGCUUAUUGGGCCUAAAGCAUCCGUAGCCGGCUGGGCAAGUCCUCCGUUAAAUCCAACGAUUCAAUCGUUGGGCUGCGGGGGAUACUGUCCAGCUUGGGGGCGGGAGAGGCCGACGGUAUUCCCGGGGUAGGGGUGAAAUCCUAUAAUCCCGGGAGGACCACCAGUGGCGAAGGCUGUCGGCUAGAACGCGCCCGACGGUGAGGGAUGAAAGCUGGGGGAGCGAACCGGAUUAGAUACCCGGUAGU
rnacentral:rRNA from 1 species